rnacentral:tRNA from 1 species
GGACCGGUGGUGUAGUGGUAACACAUUGCGUCUGGACGUGGAAAGGGGUGGUUCGAUUCCACCCCGCUCCC